GCCUUUAUGGUGUAGUGGUCAGCACAUUCGGCGCGUAAUCGAAAGGUCCGUGGCUCGAUUCCCGGCGAAGGCG
rnacentral:tRNA from 1 species